rnacentral:rRNA from 1 species
AGCGAACGCUGGCGGCAGGCCUAACACAUGCAAGUCGAGCGCCGUAGCAAUACGGAGCGGCAGACGGGAGAGUAACACGUGGGAACGUGCCCUUCAGUUCGGAACAACCCAGGGAAACUUGGGCUAAUACCGGAUACGUCCGUAAGGAGAAAGAUUUAUCGCUGAAGGAUCGGCCCGCGUCUGAUUAGCUAGUUGGUGGGGUAACGGCUCACCAAGGCGAUAAUCAGUAGCUGGUCUGAGAGGACGAUCAGCCUCACUGGGACUGAGACACGGCCCAGACUCCUACGGGGGGCAGCAGUGGGGAAUAUUGGACAAUGGGCGCAAGCCUGAUCCAGCCAUGCCGCGUGGGUGAUGAAGGCCUUAGGGUUGUAAAGCCCUUUCGGCGGGGAAGAUAAUGACGGUACCCGCAGAAGAAGCCCCGGCUAAACUCGUGCCAGCAGCCGCAGUAA